GCUUUGUUUGUAGUUAAUGGACUUAUCUAAUUCUCAGUCCAAUCUUUCUCAUGGACGUGCUUCACCGCCUCACCGCGCUCAGAUUGCUGAUGAUUCUAUAUUGCUUCAUCUCGAUUCUUCUCGACGGGGACCCACGUAUUCGUCCCCCCCAGUUCCUCUUCAGUUGAUGGAACCGCAGACGGAGAAUCAUAAAGACGAGAAUGGAGAUGCGAAGAGAGAUGGAGAUGACUACGACGAUAGAG
rnacentral:misc_RNA from 1 species